rnacentral:rRNA from 1 species
CAGCCGCCGCGGUAAUACCAGCCCCGCGAGUGGUCGGGACUUUUAUUGGGCCUAAAGCGUCCGUAGCCGGCCCGGCAAGUCCCCCCUUAAAGCCCACGGCUCAACCGUGGGAGCGGGGGGAUACUGCCGGGCUAGGGGGCGGGAGAGGCCGGGGGUACUCCCGGGGUAGGGGCGAAAUCCGUUAAUCCCGGGAGGACCGCCAGUGGCGAAGGCGCCCGGCUGGAACGCGCCCGACGGUGAGGGACGAAAGCUGGGGGAGCAAAGGGGAUUAGAUACCCCCGUAGUCCCAGCUGUAAACGAUGCGGGCUAGGUGUUGGGCGGGCUUCGAGCCCGCCCAGUGCCGUAGGGAAGCCGUUAAGCCCGCCGCCUGGGGAGUACGGCCGCAAGGCUGAAACUUAAAGGAAUUGGCGGG